UGAGGAAUAUUGGUCAAUGGGCGAGAGCCUGAACCAGCCAAGUAGCGUGCAGGAUGACGGCCCUAUGGGUUGUAAACUGCUUUUAUAAGGGAAUAAAGUGAGAGUCGUGACUCUUUUUGCAGUACGCUAUGAAUAAGGACCGGCUAAUUCCGUGCCAGCAGCCGCGGUAAUACGGAAGGUCCGGGCGUUAUCCGGAUUUAUUGGGUUUAAAGGGAGCGUAGGCCGCUGUUUAAGCGUGUUGUGAAAAAACCGGGGCUCAACUCCGGUCGUGCAGCGCGAACUGGACGGCUUGAGUGCGCGGUAAGUGGGCGGAAUUUGUGGUGUAGCGGUGAAAUGCUUAGAUAUCACGAAGAACUCCGAUUGCGAAGGCAGCUCACUGUAGCGCAACUGACGCUGAAGCUCGAAAGUGCGGGUAUCGAACAGGAUUAGAUACCCUGGUAGU
rnacentral:rRNA from 1 species